AAAAGGUUCUUCAAAGCGUUCACAGCAUGCAGUUUUUUGGUUUGAUUUUAAUCUUGAUAAUUGCUCUCUGGAAUUCUGUGGCCGCCGGAGAUUGUGUGACAGACCCCCUGACAAUGCUGUGCAUAUUGGAUCCAAAUCAGGGGAAAUAAGCGCGUGUAUAUCUUGCCAAUAACGUACAAAAGUGGACCAUGAUGUGAGUUUCUUUAUACUAAGUAAUUCAACAGGGGGCCGCCCUGGCAACGUGUGGCAAAUCGCAUUAAACAUUCCACGCCCCCUGGUUGUAAGAGGCUCACGAUGGAAUUUUUGGAUUCCAUUUGUUUUGAUUUUGAUACCCUCGAAAUGGAUAUUAUACUAAAAGCUAACUUUUUGGCCUUCAAAAUUGUCAAUCUUUGUAUCCUGAUUUUAAAAUAUAUUUCGGAAUAACUUUUUUUCUUCAAAA